GGAGGAAGGGAGGAAGGGGAGAGAAACACAAUGUUACCCCAGGCCCAGCCCAGCCCUGCCCCUCUAGUCCUGGGGCUGUGCCUGUGACCCGCCCCCCACCACCACCAUCACAGGCCUGGACCCUGAUGGAUCCUCAGGUGGAGUGGGGGAGCCCUGGGCCAGGCUGGGAGGACUUGGCUCUAGGGGGAAGUCAGGGCUUAAUGGGAAGAGCCCUGGGCUGAACCGCCUCCACAUUCUAGGCUGGACUGGGAGGAGUGGCAGGUGAAGACAGGCCAGGAUAUUUCCAGUCUGGGCAUGGGCUGCUGCCAAGGAAGCAGAUUCAGGCUGAGAGGCAUCAGUUUCGCAGUGUAAGGAAGGCCUGUUGUUCACAAGGUAACUUACAGCUCAGGAAGGGGCGUGGGGGACCUACAGCGUAGAGUAGAGUUCCACAAUCAGGCCUGUGGAGUGUGGGACCAAAUCUGCACCUCCCCCUACGUUUGGGGAUGACCCUGCAAGCUAAGGGUUGCGUUUUACAUUUUUUAAUUGUUGGGGAGGAAAAAACCACAAGAAGAUUCUAUGCCCCGUGAAAAUAUAUGAAGUUUAAAUUUCUAUGUCCAUACAGUUUUAGGGGAACACAGCCGUGCCUUUUUUUUUUUUUUUCUUUCUUACUUUCUUUUAACAUAUUGACUUCAGCUGCUUUUGCAGAGCAGCUGCAACAGAGACCAUACAGCCCACAAAGCCUGAAAUGUGCGCUCUCUGGCCCUUGACAGAAAACCUUUACCAACUAACUCCUGCUUUACAGUGUGCUUGGUGCUUGUUCGUUCGCGAAGAACUCUGUGGCUUAUAUGGUGCUUUACAGUUUACAAUGCCGCUAUCCUUUUCAAGGGACUAGGGGAUACAUGGUGUGUUUAGACUUUGGAAAGUGCUUUGCAAGGGCACCACUGUUUACAAAAUGCCUUACCACGGAUAAAGUGCUACCUACCGUUUACCAAGCCCUCCACUUUUCAAGGCGCUUUAGAGUUUAUAAAUGGCUUUACUGUUUCCCAGAGGCACAGCUGUCUAUAAAGAACUCUGGAAUGUUGAA